GGGCAGUGACGCAUCCGACGUGACCUUCCCAACAUGGCGGAGGCCCGCCGUGUGUGAGGGCGGACCCCAGGGGCGCCGAAGCCAAUGGCAGACCGCGAGAGGCGUGGGGACUGGGAGGACGGCGGCCGCUUGCCCAACCCGAGGCUCGGGAGGUGGCUGGGAAGUGAAUUUUCUGGAAGGCGACUUUAAAGGCGCCGGGACUGAGCGAAGGGCGUUUUGGUGCUGCCGCCGUCGCCGCCGCCCAUCCCGGGGAGGGGUGCGUUAGUGGCAGGAAGCGGGCUGCGCCGAGGUCGUAGCGGAACCAGCUGGCGACCCCGCAGAAUGAACCACAAGAGCAAGAAGCGCAUCCGCGAGGCCAAGCGGAGUGCGCGGCCGGAGCUCAAGGACUCGCUGGAUUGGACCCGGCACAACUACUACGAGAGCUUCUCGCUGAGUCCGGCGGCCGUGGCGGAUAACGUGGAAAGGGCAGAUGCUUUACAGCUGUCUGUGGAAGAGUUUGUGGAGCGGUAUGAAAGACCUUACAAGCCCGUGGUUUUGUUGAAUGCACAAGAGGGCUGGUCUGCGCAGGAGAAAUGGACUCUGGAGCGCCUGAAAAGGAAAUAUCGGAACCAGAAGUUCAAGUGUGGUGAGGAUAACGAUGGCUACUCAGUGAAGAUGAAGAUGAAAUAUUACAUCGAGUACAUGGAGAGCACUCGAGAUGACAGUCCCCUUUACAUCUUUGACAGCAGCUAUGGUGAACACCCUAAAAGAAGGAAACUUUUGGAAGACUACAAGGUGCCCAAGUUUUUCACUGAUGACCUUUUCCAGUAUGCUGGGGAGAAGCGCAGGCCCCCUUACAGGUGGUUUGUGAUGGGGCCACCACGCUCUGGAACUGGGAUUCACAUCGACCCUCUGGGGACCAGUGCCUGGAAUGCCUUAGUUCAGGGCCACAAGCGCUGGUGCCUGUUUCCUACUAGCACUCCCAGGGAACUCAUCAAGGUGACCCGAGAGGAAGGAGGGAACCAGCAAGACGAAGCCAUUACCUGGUUUAAUGUUAUUUAUCCCCGGACACAGCUUCCAACCUGGCCACCUGAAUUCAAACCCCUGGAAAUCUUACAGAAACCAGGAGAGACUGUCUUUGUACCAGGAGGGUGGUGGCAUGUUGUCCUCAAUCUCGACACUACUAUCGCCAUCACCCAAAACUUUGCCAGCAGCACCAACUUCCCUGUGGUAUGGCACAAGACGGUAAGAGGGAGACCAAAGUUAUCAAGGAAAUGGUAUAGAACAGAUACAGCACGGGCAGCGGCAGUGCAAGCCACCCACAGCCACCCCGUGCCACUGUGUCCCAACCCUGACCUGGAGGGACCAGCUCUCGGGGAUCUUGAAGCAAGAGCACCCCGAGUUGGCAGUCCUGGCAGACUCGGUUGACCUUCAGGAGUCCACAGGGAUAGCCUCCGACAGCUCCAGCGACUCUUCCAGCUCCUCCAGCUCCAGUUCGUCAGACUCCGACUCAGAGUGCGAGUCUGGAUCCGAGGGCGAUGGGACAGUGCACCGCAGGAAGAAGAGGAGGACGUGCAGCAUGGUGGGAAACGGGGACACCACCUCCCAGGACGACUGUGUCAGCAAAGAGCGCAGCUCCUCCAGGUGACCCAGCAAGGCUAUUGUCUGUAUGGAAGGACACGCUCGCGGCAAGGGCAGGGCCUGGGGAGGGCGGCCUGUCCAGUCCUGCAGACAAGGGGAGGCCUGACAGAGCCCGAGAAUGAGGACGCCCUCGGCACGGGAACCCAUUCACUUAGCGUUUGCUCCAGUAGCUUUCCCUCUGCUACCGAUGCAGAUAAACGCGGCUUGUUUUACUCAGAAAGGCAAGAGAAUGUGAAUGGUGCCAAAAAAACCCUUUAUUUAAUAAAAAUUGAAUCCAUUUUCUA